CCCGGUUCUCGUUAGAUCAUCGAAGUCAAGCAUCAUUGGGCGCGGUCAGUACUUGGGUGGGUGACCACCUGGGAACACCGCGUGCCGUU